CGAUUUAGCGCUGUAGUGUAGACAUACCCAUACAGAUUUGCACAGGCACAUUUAGGGAAGGUAGGUACAAACACUGCCAAAAAUGUAUGACGUCUUCAAACUAAUGAGUAGGAGAAUGUGUAGAAGAUAAUCCCACACAGUAAAAGGCCUGACCAACAUCAGCUUCACACAGGAGCUCUACGGUGAGCACCUUCAAUUGUGCUGAUCUCAGGAGGAGCAGAGGGUGCUCAGCACCUAGCAACAUUAGGUUGUGUGUUCCCCAGACUGAAGUGCUUUCCGAUCAGUUUUUUCACUGUGUUGGAGCCUUCUAAGGACAUUGUGGUUACUGAGAACCAUCCAGGAGGUGAUCAGAAUGCUGCAUGACCAGGUGCUUCAAUGAGCAGAUAGAGGAUGAUCCCCUGAAACCACAUGUGCAGGGCCAGAUUUUCAAAGGCAUUCAAGUGCCUACAGAUGCACAUAGAUAGGCACCUAAUGGGAUUGAGAAAAGGACUUAAAUCAAUUAGGUGCCGCACACCAAUUGAGUUCAAUUGAAGUUAGGUGCUUAACUGGCUUACAUGCUUUUUUAAAAUCCUACAAGGCAUCUAUCUGCAAAUCUAGGCACCUUUGAAAAUCUGGUCCCUAGAGAAUUCAUCAACUUUUCUGUGCCUAUUUAGCUAACUAAUCUCUGGUUGCCAUCUUGUUGAAAAUGAAAUUCAUACCAACUCUCCAUUGCAAAACAAGUUUUAAAUGGGCUUGUGUUUAAGUGGCCUGAAAUACAAGAAAUGUACUUGAUCUUUAGCUACUCUGGCAAACCAUUUGGAGCAGGGGGGUUAGCCUUUAAUAAAAAUUCUUGAAAUCAAUAAAAUGCUCUACUCCAACUAACCAUCUGCAAGAUGGUGCAUAUACUUCACAGCCUAUGAAGUGAUACAUUACAAUAGCUGCCCAGUUGUUAACAGCUGCCUCUCUCCUUCUGUGUGUCCAGCAAGAGCUGAAACUGACAUUCAGACAUGGAAUUCAAAAAGUGGACCAGUUCUGCAAUUAUCAGGGUGGAUAGUGACCCUAGAACAGUCCCUUCCCUAAAACAAAGCUACCAUAGACAAUAUUUCCCUUGCUACAAAGUGGAUGCUGUAUUGCACAGAGAUGCUCAGAUCCCAUGGUGAUGGCUGUGGUUUCAGUACCCUGAUUGCCACUACAGCUGAUACAUGAUACACGCAUACCCAUAUUCUGAUUUUGGAAUGGGAUGUUUGAUUUUAAUUGAAGUCGGAGGAGACAAGAAGGUCCUGGUGUACAUAGAUAUAAUGGCCACCCUUACACACAAUUUCAAAAUCCUCAUGGCCUGAAGAUGUUAAGGGGACAUCCCUCCCAUUAUUCAGGAGUAAUAGGUUUGGCAUCUUCCCCCUUCAAUCUGCAGGCAGUAUCUAAAGUCCCUUUGUAACCUGGCCACUGCUAGUAAAGUCCUGCAGCCUCACUCCAUAGCUAUAGCAGAAACAGUGACCAGUUUUCUCAUCUUCUUCCCCCACUCCAACAGUUGACUGCAUAAGAAGUUGUGGCCCCGUGGGUCUGCUCAGCUUGCAGACUCAGUGAUAUACACUCACCCCACCUUGGCCCCUCCACACCCACCACCAUGGACUCUAGUGGAGAAAGCCAUCUCAGAGCUGGGUUGCACAAGACAGAAGAAGCUGCAUAAUCUUCUUGCAUAGCUUCCCCACAGCCCAGCUCCCCCUCCUUCUCCUGUAGAAUUAUAGAUAUGCUGUUGCACUUUAUGACUAGUCUGCUUUCAUUCUUCCCUCUUCAACUAGUGGUGAAGGGCAAGAUUUGGCCCUUUAUUCAUAAGUGGCACAUUUUGCAUAAUCUUUACAAAUAAUUCAGGAAUGAAAGGUUUGAGCAACCUUAAUCUAUAUGCUAUUUUCUUGGCUUUCUAGACACAGCUGAGUUGGCUCAUCUAGUUAUUGGAUACAGGAAUUGCCUCUUAGUGAAACGCUUGAUUUGCAUAACACACUUGCUUCUUUGAAAGCACAGACUUCCUCCCAAACAUAUAACAUGAUUCUGUGUUAUUUUCCAUUAAUUUACAAGGGAGAAUUCAAGCUUUAACCCCUCUAUUUUAUUUCACUCUUUAUCAGCUCUACUAUUAUAACAGUGAUGAAAUUGCCAGGUCUCAUUUUCAGGAUUUUAAAUUGUGAGUUUAUAUUGCAAUCUGAAAGACCAUUCUCCAAGUUCACCCUGGGAUUGUAAAGUAUUUAUUUAACAUAUCUAUCUGAAUCUUUGAGAAUAAAAGCACACCAUAUCUGAACAUACAGGCUCAGGAGUUUCAAAGUCUCACACUAUAAUAAUACUCCUCUAUCAGUUUAGAAUACUUUCCACAUGGAUCUCAAAGCUCUUUAUAAACAUCGAGUGAAUAAAACCUCACAACACUCGAGUGAAGGAAGGAAAUAUACCUUUUUGUGCAUGAGAGAACUGAGGCAAAGGGCAGUCAAAUGACUUGCACAAGGACACAUGUUAAAUCAACUACAUAGCAAGGAAUAGAAUUGGGACCACAAUUCAGAAAAUUUGAAAAUAGUUUGAUUUUCAAAAGUGCUGAGCAUUCUGAAGCUGUCAAUGAAAAAGUGUUCCAAGGACAAAGUGUGACUGAGUAUUAUUUUUCCACCCUAGAAUUGGCUGCAUUUCAGUGGUGAAUGAAAUAAUUCCUGGAAUAACUCAUAUAUUUAUGAGGCUUACAAAACUCAUUAGGACCCUUUGGAAUGAAAGGCAUUAUGGUUGUGAUAUUCAAAGGAGCCUAAAGGAUUCAAGCGCACAAAUCCCACCGAGGUUCAAUAGGAGAUGAGUGCCAGACUCCCCUAGACACCACUGAAAUCCCCAACCUAAGAUAUAUGUGCAUACAAAUAAAAAUUGGGAAUACAUAACUGCUUAACACAUUUUAAAAUAUGAUGUACAUAUUUGUGUACCAAUUUGCAUCUGUCCUUUUAUUUAUAUAGUAUUAAUCAAGAUCUUUACUGUAAUCAAACAAGCACAGUGAGCAAAGAUUGCUAAUAACAAAAGGCCAAAGAAUAAACAUUAAAAGAAGUAAGAAAGUAGUUUGUACACCAGUUUAAACCAGCAGAGGGUCCAGGUCUACAUGUACAUUGUAUUUCAAGUCUAUCCAUAAUUACUGCUGCAAAAAAUAACAAAGGUAAUAAAAGUUCAACCAGACUCAGAGAAAGAUCAGUGAAUAAAGAUCUCCAUUCCCACAGACAUUAGUGAACUUUUAUCAUGACAAACAGGCUAUCGCAGUAUAAUGGGAUUUUACUGAAGUUUAUUGCUGCACUGUUUAUAAUAACAUUGCAUCCAGCCUGCCUUGUUGGUACUUUUGCAUUACAGGGUAACAGUUCUGAGGUGGCAGCAAACAGCUUCCGUGCUUGUGUCAGGAGAAAUAAAACUGUUAUUAUUUCAUACACUUCAGAGGCCACACUCAAACUCAGCAGUUAUGCAGAGCUGUUGUGAAUAGAAAGCUCUGCUGUAGAACACUGGGCUGCCCCCACAACAAUAAGCUGUCUUCCCUCCAAUCUACUUUUGGCUUCCUGCCAGUUGCCCAUUUGCUUUACACCAUCAAUUUAUAUUCACUGAGAUGGUGUAAGGUUCUAGAACAGCACUGAUUAGCAAAUGUGCCUGCCAAACAUAUGAGCAGUAAAAGCUGGUCUUCCAGAGGCCUACGUUUAUAAUACAAGGGCCCAAUCCCGCAAGGACUUACCACAAGACACGUUGUUUACAAAAAUAAGCUGUCCAAAUGAUGCCAAGGGGACCUCGUAUGGUAAUAAACUUUGUAUCUGGUGAGACGUCUUUGCAGAAUUGGGCUCUAAGCUAUUUAACUUUGCCCAUUCCAGUUUUAGAGUAGUUCUCUUUAAAAGCUUUUCAGUCUGGUAUAAUCCAGGCAAAAAUGCUUGUGUUUUUUGCCAGUUUUGUUUUGUUUUUGUACAGCAAAAAUUUGCCAGCAGAUAUUAUUCAUUACUAUACAUGUGGAACAUUUUUAAUAGAGAAUUGAGUAUAGUAAGACAAGUAUGCAAUAUUUCCAACCCUAACUACUCAAAAAUAGAGAAUCAACCCCUUCACCCUUUAAAAAAGUUAUACAUUUUGGUAUCUCUUUAUUUGUCUUCUGACUUUUGAACCUGUCCAGUGUGGUCAAGUCAAUUUUUCAAGUUUUUUCAUGCACCCUUAAGAGCUAGAAAUUUACUUGAUUUUAAAAUGAAAAUUGAGGGUCUGAAAUAAAUGCCAAGAGCUGGCAAGGGCCUUCAGAAAAAUGUGGUAUAUCCUGAGACACACAAUUAAAAUCAGGAGAAAAAUACUGUGAAUUUUAGGAAAUUAACUAGCUUUAAUUAAUUUUUUCUUUAAAUAUUUUCAACUUAUGAGACUCUUGUGAGGAUAUUGUUUGGUUAUACAUAUAUAAAUUGCCCUGCAUCUAAGGCCAAGUCUACACUAAAAAGGAAUGUCCAAUCAAGAUACACAACUCCAGCUACCUUAAUUACAUUGCUGGAGUCAACGUACUUUGUUUUGAGUUUAUUUGCCUUCCUGGAAGGCCAAUGGAAACAAACACUCUCAUUGGCUUCCCUUACUCUUCACAGAAGGAGGAGUACUGGCCGCCCGCAGACACACCCUCUGAGUUUGAUUUAGCAAGUCUUAACUAGACUCUCUAAAUCGAACUCUGGAAGAUCGAUCACGGCAGUGUCAAUCUUCCAUUUAGUGAAGACAUGGCUUUAGAGAAGCUAAAAUUCCUGACUCUUUCUUUUCCACAUGUACUACAGUGAGAGCCACUUACUGAUAACUUGAAACCAUUGGCCCUUAUGUGAGACAAAUUCCUUUCAAAGUCAAUAGGAAUUGUCCAAAUGUAACAAAAGCAGGAUGAAGCUCUAAUUAAUGAGAGAUAAAAAAUGACAAAUGAAGAGGUUCCACAGAAUCAUUAUGACUAUCUGUUUGGAAAGCAAACCUGUAGUAAUAAAUACAUCACAGACCUAUUCUUUGACAGAAUGCUACACUAUAGCACCUACACAGUACACUCAAAACCACACAUGCAUUUUCUUAGCUUUAUUUAUCAAGUCCCCCAUCCUAAAUGCUGCGCAGGCAGACUCACAUUCUGGUGGAGUGCUCAGCAAGAUCAGACCCUGUAUUGCCAGCUAUUUGUAAAUAGGAAUACUAUUCAGAAUACGCAUCCUGUUGAAAUGUAACUUUAAAAUACCCUACCGUAUGUCCUAUGUUAUUUGAAGAGAGAUGACAGAGCCAAGGAUUGGAUUUCCCACUCAACAUUGAUUAUUUAUUAUAGCUCAUUUUCUUGCACUUUAAUAUGUGUUGUCUGUUUUUACGUAUUUGGGGACAAGAGAUAUGGGUUGAGAUGCACAACUUGGAUUCAGAUUCUGAACUUCAAAUAGCCCGUAGAUGCUUGGAUCUGGCAUUUUGGUUUGGAGUCUCCUGUACUAUAAACAAUAUCUCAAAUAAAUUCCAAACUGCCUGUCAACGUACUCAAACUGUAUUUUCUUCUAACCCUUCUCUUCCCUCUUGCCGGUAUGUGACUAGAAAUCUUUAGCUGAUUUUGACUGAAGGUAUCAACUCUUUAACUCAUUGUUUAAGUCAGUGAAAGUGCCCAGGUUGUCUAUGUCUAUUUAAAUAUAUAGUAGGAAAGUGGCCCAACAGAGACCACAGGGCUUCUGACACUUGUCUUUAUUGCCCAGUCAUAAAUUCAUAAAGGGAUGUAUACUACAACCAAUUGGCAAGUUUGUUGGAUAAACAUCAACACCAAUUUAAUGACUUGUGUACACAUUGUAAACCAGAGAAUCUUUAUACAAAGAAAUCAGAUAAAUCAAACAUGAGCUGAGGCUUAGAGAGAAGCAAUUAAAGCUUUAAGGUGAGGUUGCUGUGGGAGGGUCCUGUAUCACAUUAGAGCAUAUAAUAGAAAAUGUGUUAACAUGGACUAAAGUAUGUGCAAUUAAAUUAAUUAGUAAUAUAAAACACUUCUAAAGCAAUGUGUCCAUAGACAGAUAAGUAGAUAAAACAUAAGAGAUAAAUAAGCAUCCAGAGAUCUCAAUUCCCUUUUUCAUUAAGGAAAAAAUGAAAAUAGAAAUCAAAUUUACUAAAUAGACAUUUUAAGCAGUCUUGUUCACCCCAGGCAGGUGACAGAAACGAAAAAGCAUAGCUGCAACACACACAAAUAUCUAUUAAUUUGUUAUGUAAUGUUUAAUUUUUUAUACCAGCCUAUAAGACAAUUUAAAUCUAGUGCCUUCUAGACUUGUAUAAAAUACUUCAUGAUGUACUACUUUCUGAGGACUUGUAAGGAAACUUUCUGUUAAACAGGUUUAUUAUGGUAUCUCACUGUCUCUCUCUUAAGGUGAGUAAGAUAGCUAACGUGUGGGAACCAAAUUCUCUCUACUAUUUGCACAUCAAAAUGAGCUACUAAAUAUUCCUUCUCCACCAAAACACAGGCAUAAUAUUCUACCGGGAUUAAGGACCAUUAGUGUCUAUAGACUGUUAUGUACAGAACAAAAGCUCCCUUACCUACAGACACAUCCCCUGUGUCAUGUACAACAAAAUUCCAUGGCAGCACCACAGGAAGAGUUGGGUCAAGAGGUCCAUUCUUGGAUUAAUCCACAUGCACCAGAGAUAAUACAAAGAACCACCUGAGUAGUUUCAGCAAGUCAACUGUGUCUCCCUAGCAAUGCCUCAUCCCCUGUAUCUCCUACCACUCACAUUCUCCCCAAAGAACAUAGUCCAGUACUGAACUGAACUGAGUUUUUCUAGUAUCAGAGGGGUAGUCGUGUUAGUCUGAAUCUGCAAUAGCGGUGAGGAGUCCUGUGGCACCUUAUAGACUAACAGAAGUGUUGGAGCAAAAGCUUUCAUGGGCAAAGACCCACUUUGUCAGAUGAGUUUUUCUAGUAGCUGGUGGAGGGUCUCCAUGUUUGAGGGUCAGAUGUGAGAAAGUCUGGUUGUACAGGAAAUGGGUGCUCCCUCACUUGACUUCUUCCCUGACUUCCCUGACCAUACAGAACUUCAAAAGCCAGAAUGUAGCUGUGGCUUUGCCUGUCUUCUAGGAUCCCAGUGAUAUCAUACACAAGCUUCACCUCAUUUCAUUUGGUGCCUUCUGCUGUUACAGGGAUUUCUCAGGCUUAUGCCAUCAAUACAUACAGCAAAAGUCCCAAGUAUUCAACACAAGUUGAAUUUAGAGGUUUGAAGCAAAGGUAAUUGUAUGAGUUCACAAACAUUUUGUUAUUCACUCUAACUUGUAAUUCUUGGACCCCUAAAAACAUUUUCUUUGUUUUGGUGAUCGUAGGAUUCCAUUUAUUCAUAUCUGAAAUGAUAAGAUUCUAGAAUUUAGCCAUCAUAAUGUAGAAUGAUGUUAAGUCUCUCCUAAGGAAAACACAAUAUACACAACUUAUGUAAGGGGAAAAUGAAAAAGGAAUCAUUCACAAUCACAUUCCUGGUAUGCAAGCACCGGAUAAUCUAGCACUAAGAGCAGAGCUGGAAGCCUCAUAGGGCUCUGGGUGUCCACAUUGGAAGAAUGCAGAACAAUCAGCAGACUGAGGUAACCACAGGUCUCUCUGUGAGAAUCUGCAGAACAUGCACACUGAACUACACUUUAAGGCAGCUAUUUUUUUUCCACAUGAGGUAGGAAUAACUAAUGAGGCAACCAAGCUAUCAGCUACAUACUUUGACAUACCAGCAAUGCAUGAACUAAUGCCUUCUAACUGCAAUACCAGAAGAGAUGGCCCCUCAGGAUAAUACCUUCAGGAGUCUUUGUGAGCAAAGAGAUGAAAACCUGGAACUCUUAAACAGGCCUGGAUUGGACUGAUUUUAUUUUCAUGUGGGUUAUGAGAAGUCAACCAGGCAUUUGAUUUACAGGGAUUGGAAUUUGUCAUUCUUUUUUUGAUCCAUAUGGAGAUUCAGGUUAGUUCUCAAUGAAAACCUCAGUGUAAACCACCAUACAUUUCCUGCCCUCCCCCCUCCCCCAUCACCACGAUAAAAUCCCUUCAUUCCCUUUUACUUACCAACUCUUGAAGGCCUGGGACCACAACCUCUUGGUGCACAAACACACAUACACACAUCUUGGCUGUGUCUACACUGGCAUGAAUUUCCGGAAAUGCU